rnacentral:rRNA from 1 species
AUGUGUCGACCGCAACUCAUCGUGGCAGAAGUGCGUCCGAAGACCGCCGUCGAGGCCCUUGGACACAUAAAAGUACACCGCCGUCUGUUCGGUCAGGGCGACGUUGGCGAGGACGAGAAUGCCGAAGGGGCCGAGGGCGCCGCGGGUGGCUGCACCACUGGUCAUGGUGCAGUUGUAGCCGACGUCGACCUCGUUGAGGGCCUCAAUGGCGGAGGCGUUGAUGCGGAAGGAUGCCUCGAUGUCGAGUUGGGAGGUCUGGUGGAGGGGGAGGGAGACGACGGAUCCGGCACCGACAGUGAUGCCGCUGAGAUCGGUGGUGUUGAUGCGGAGGGUAUCGAGCUCCUCCACCGGCCAUUGGAUGAGGUUCGUCCGGGUCUUCUCGUCAAGCUCCACCGUUCUCGGAAUCGACUGCAUGCACAAAACACGAUAUUAAUCCAGUUGGUUCAGUAA